AAUGUGACUCAGCUAUCUGAAC
rnacentral:miRNA from 1 species